rnacentral:rRNA from 1 species
UACGUAGGUGGCGAGCGUUGUCCGGAUUUACUGGGUGUAAAGGGCGUGUAGCCGGGAAGGCAAGUCAGAUGUGAAAUCCGGAGGCUCAACCUCCGAAUUGCAUUUGAAACUGUUUUUCUUGAGUACUGGAGAGGCAGACGGAAUUCCUUGUGUAGCGGUGAAAUGCGUAGAUAUAAGGAGGAACACCAGUGGCGAAAGCGGCUCUCUGGUCUGUAACUGACGCUGAGGUUCGAAAGCGUGGGUAGCAAACAGG